UCUCUCUCUCUCUCUCGGCCCUUCCCUACUCACGCUGUGUCUCUCUCUCUCUCAAAAAUAAAUAAACAUUUAAAAAAAUAAUUUAAAAAAAUAAAAAAGGGAUUUGAAAAUAAAAAGCUCUCACUGUCGAGGGCUCACUCUUCAGGAGCAGGGCUCUGAGCGUUGUGCAUCCACGUGGCAUUUAGUCCUUAUAACCAUCAGAUGGCUGACGUGUCCAAGGCCAACCAGCUGGUCAUUGAAGAGCCACAAGUGACUCUGGAGCUCCUGCUCUUGGCCACCUCUCUGCCCCAGCUGAGUGUGGAAAUGAUGAUGAUGCCCUCCCCUGCCUGGGUGGUUACGAGCAGUAAAUGGGCCUGGGUGGAAAGGUCCUUUGGAGAGGCUUCCAGAGAAGCUAUUAUUUGAUGGAGUGGAAGAGGAGGAAGCUGCUGUGUAAAGGGUACGCGUGGAAGGCUCUUGGAAAGAGGAGCUCAGUUUAAACUCAAGGCAGUCACCGUUCUCAGGCCUGUGAGAACCAAGCAUGUGGAUUGUGGGGGUGCCAGGCUCUGGCCUCUUACCCUGGCGCUCCGGGGUCCUGGGGGCAGGCCGGGGCCAUCCCCACCCAUCCCCUGCACUCCUGGCCGGGAGCCCAGUCCUCGUGGCCUCUCCGGCCUGGCAGUGAGGCGGAGCGUAACGAAACCCUGGUGGCUUCCCCUGAUUUUUCCCGCUGAGGAUGGAGUGCCGAGCAGACCCGGAGGGGUCUAGAGCCGCGUUAGCGGCCAUUCAAGGCUUUCAGUUGCGCCAGGUCACUCGUUAGCUGCAUGGCCUUGGCCAAAUGGAAAAUGGAAUUUCCAAAAUGAGGAUUCAAAUACCGACCACGCAGGGUUGUUGUAGGAUUACAUGAGAUGAUGUGCGUAAGGUGACUCAGAUGCAGUAAGCCUUGCAUAAUGAUUAAUGCUAUCAUUAGGCAGCCGUCCUUCCUUAUUACAACAUGAGGGACAGGGACCCAGACGAGGGACGGGGACCCAGAGAUUAGAAGCAAGUCAUUCAAGGCCUCGCAGCCAGUGCGCGGCAGGCCUGGGCUUCCUCUGCAAUCAUCUCCACCCCUGCCUUGGUCAAGCCUUUUCUGAGAAUCCCUCACCCAGGGGUGAAUUGACAGGGGUGCAUUUCACACCUGAACGAUGCCCCCUCGCUCGCUCGCUUGGGCAAUGGGAUUACAAAGCUGCAGGCUGCUACUGCUUCCCAGCUCUGCCACUGAUUUGCAAACCGGGAUGAUUUGGUUGAGCUCCUCUGGACUGAGGCUCUACCCGGCUUCCUGGGAGACGGGCCUCCUGUGGGAGACAGCUGGGCUCCAAGGGAUCAGCACACCUCUCUCUCUCUCUCUCUCUCUCUCUCUCUCUCUUUCCCCCUCCUUGAGCAAGUUUAGCAUUCCAGAGCCCCCCGCCUGCAGCCGGAAUCAGUAUCCAGAUACCUCCCACUCCCAGCUCUCCCGAAUGGACCCGGACUCAUCAGCAUUUCUCUGACUUGGUGACAGCCCCGCCUCUGAAAAGUGCAGCCUGGGAUACAGAUCUUCUGUCCAGUUAAAGUGACUUAAAAGUAAUUCUUUUUGGAAAUCUUCACAGCCAUUCCAGAGAUCAUGACGGACACCUCGGCCCCGUGAAACAGAGCUGAGGAGUUCUGGCUCCCAUAAAGCUGUCUCUGACACCCCAAAGCCAGGCAUUGACUGACCAACAGUCUUUGCCCCCUGGGGCAAACCUUCCUGCUGGUGUCUCCGCCCCUCUGGAACCCCUGCUUCCUCCUUGUCCUCCCAUCCGAGAGGCCAUGGCUACUGUCAUUCCCCACUCCCCAGAGCCAGCUCUCCUUUGCUGUCCCUGUGCCCUGCUCCCAGAGCCACCCCAGGAGCAGGGGUGAGGUUAGAGACAUGGUAGCAUGGAUACCCUGAAGGGGCCCUCUGCCUGCCAAGCCCAGCUGGGGCAUCCAUGGAGAGUCCACACAAAUGACCCCCAGCACUUAAGCAGCGGGCCUCCAAUGCUCCGGCUGUUCCAAACACUUACCAGAUGGUAAUCUAUGAGGCAGAUACUAUCAUUACUCCCUUUUAGAGAUGGGGAGAUUGAGACCCAGAGGGGCGAAGUAACUUGUCCAAUGCCACACAGCUUGAAACUGGCAGAUUUGAGAUUUGAGCCCAUCAUCUGGGCCAGCGUGCCACUGGAACACCGGAGACGGCCACCCCCUUACUUAAUUCCACUCACCCGUCACCUCUUCCCUCGGCCACUGACAGGUGCCUUCUGUCACGUCUGCAGCCACAUCCUCGGGACACGGCUGUGUUCUCGCCGCAAGAAAGGACAAGUGCCUGGGGCGGAGGGCCCCAGGUUGAAGCCCCUCUGCCUGCUUUCCCUGCCCCGCGGGCCCAGUCUCCUCCCCACCUGGGAACCCUUCAGGGAUGCUAUGAUCUGAACGUUUGUGUCCCCCCGCCAAAUUCAUGUGUUGAAAGCUACCCCCCAAGGUGAUGGCAUUAGGAACUGGGGCCUUUCAGAGGUGAUUAGGUCAUACACGGGCUUAGCGCCUUUAUAAAAAUGGCCCCAGAGAGAUCCCUCGCCCCACUUCUAGCAUGUGAAGACACAGCAAAAAAUCAGCAGCCUGCAACCCGGAGGACCCUCAGCCGGCCAUACAGCCACCCUGACCUUGGACUUCCAGCCUCCAGUCUCCAGAAAUGUGACAAAUAAAUUCUCGGGUUUAUAAGCCACUGACCUGGUCUGUGUCAUUUUGUUAUAGUGGCCCCAAAGGACUAAGAGAAGUGGCUUAGUGUGGCCACCUCGCUGCCAGGACGACCUGAGGCAGCAGGUCUGGGGGCAGGUCUGGAAGCACUCUCAGCUUGGAGGGGCCGCCUGAGACCGUGGCCUGCAAACCUGCACCUGCUUCCGGGCUGAGGAUGUGAAUGGGACACCCAGAAGUGGGGGGCGGGAGGGGGGUGAGGGAAGGAAUUGCCUCCAGCGCCGGCCCUACCUGUCUCCUUCUUCACUCCUCCUUGUCUGCAUCAGCUGCUCUAGGAGCAGACCCUGCACAGCCCCCUGCCACCUUCUCCUUGCCUUUUCUCCUCCAGCCCGGACCCUCUCUUCCAUCAACACACACAGCCUUGGUUCACUUCCAUCCAAUGAGGAAAUGCCCACAACAACGCUCGGCACAGGGCCCGGCAGGUAGGGGCUCAAUGGGUGCGAGCUUCCUUUCCUUUUGCCCGUCAGCUCCCCUGGGCCUGGCCGCGGCCAUGCAGCCGGGUCAUUCGCCUUUAGGCCUGUUGUCAUGGGUGAUGCUCUUCUCCCUCCUCUCCACCUAGGAAACUUUUUCUCCUCCUUCAGAACUCAACAGAGGUGUCACUUCAGGCAGUGAGGGGCCCCCACCCCGGCUGCCACAGUGCUCUGCUCACACUUCUCAGAAAACUUUCCUAGAGGUUCUGAUGCGUGGGUUUGUUUGGUGUCUCUAGACCCAGCUCCAAAGGGUGAGUACACAUCUCUUCCUUUUGUCUUUGACUUACUUAAAAUUCCUAAAAAUUGCACAAGUAAUUCAUGAGUGUGUGCAUACUGUAAAAAAAAAAGGCACAAUGCACAAAAAUAUAAGCCCCAAUCCCUCCCCAGAAAACACCACAGUUAAUAGCUUUGUGAGUAUAAAUCUGUAUAAAUUGAUUCAGUAUCUUCUUACAUAAAUGAGAUUAACCUACAUACAUUGUUCUAUGGCUUGCUUUUGUCAUUUAAUAAUAGAUUGUAUAUGGCGGCUCCUGGACGGCUUAGUCCGUUGAGCGUCUGACUUCGGUUCAGGUCGUGAUAUCCCAGUUUGUGAGUUCAAGCCUGGCAUCAGGCUCGCUGCUCUCAGCACAGAGCCAGCUUUGUAUCUUCUGUCCCCCUCUCUCUGCUCCUCCCCCUCUAGUGCUCUCUCAAAAAAAAAUUUUUUUUAAGUAAUAGAUUGUAUGUGUGGUAGGCAGAAUAAUGCCCCUUCUGCCAAAAAUGUACAUGUUCUAAUCCCCCAAAUCUGUGAAUAUGUGACCUUGUAUGGUAAAAGGGACUUUGCAGAAAAGUCCUGAGAAAAAAAAGGUUAUUUGUGCUGCAUCAUCUGGACGGUCUCAAUGUAAGCAUAAGGAUCUUUGUAAGAGGGAGGUAGGAGGGGCAGAAAAAGACAGAUCUGAAGAUGCUACUCUGUUGGCUUUAAAACGGAGAAGCAGUGGGGGUGCUGGGUGCUCAGGUGGUUAAGCGUCCGACUCUUGGUUUUGGCUCAGGUCGUGAUGUCACAGUUCAUGAGUUUGAGCUACGCCUUGGGCUCUGAGCUGACAGCGUGGAGCCUGCUUGGGAUUCUCUCUCUCCCUCUCUCUCUCUACCUCUCCCGUGCUCAUUCUCUCUCUCUCUCUCAAAAUAAAUAAAUAAACUUAAAAAAAAUAAAAUAAAAUGAAGGAAAAGGACACAGACAAGGAAGGCGGGUAUCUUCUAAAAGCUGGAGAAGGCAAGGAAAUGGAUUCUCUGGAGCCUUCAGAAGGGAAUACAGCUCAGCAGACCCCAUGUUUUUAGCCCGGUGGGAUUUUUGACCUACGGAACCGUAAGAUAAUAAAUUUGUGUUAUCUUAAGCCAAUAAGUUUGUGGUAACUUGUUAUAGCAGCAACAGAAAACUAAUGUGUGCUUGAGGUGGUGUAUUAGAUUGCCAGGGAUGCCAUAGCAAAAUGGCACAGACUGGAUGGCUUAAAACAACAGAAAUUUAUUUUCUCAUAGCCCCAGAGGCUAGGAGUCCAAGAUCAGGUGCCCACAAAGUUAGUUUCUCCAGAUGCCUCUCUCCUUCUCAUGCAGAUGGCCAUCUUCUUGUUACCUCUUCACGUGUUCCUUUCUCUGUGUGCCCAUCUUUUUGUCUCUUCCUUUUAUAAGGAUACCAGCCAGAUUGGAUUAGAGUCCCACCUUAAUGGCCUCCUUUUAACUUAAUCACCCCAUUAAAGGCCUUAUUUCCAAGUAAAUUCCAAUUCCGAGGGAUUGGGAACUAGGCUUCGGCAGUAUGAAUUUGCAAGAGACACAAUUCCACCCAUAAUGUUUGGACAAUCUCAUUCACUUUCCAAAGUCACCCAGUGAAUUAGAACCAUGAUUAUCAUAAUUUUAUAGGUAAGGAAACAGGCACAGAAAGGUUACGUUACUCACCCAAAUUUACACAGCAAGUAAGUGGCAAGGCCAGUCUGGGAAUUGACUGUUUAUAUACUUCACCCAUUUUUCUAUGAGGUGAUUUUUCUUUUUGGUUUGCAGGUGCACAGGUGUUCAGUAAGCAUUGAUUGAUUGAAGGAAUGAGUGGGAGCAGUUCCCAGGACUCCUAGAAGAACAUGGGCCAGGCUGGGCCAGGCUUGGGUUUCCCUUCCUACCUCUCCAGGUUAGCAAUACUUACCUCCAGGAGAAAACCAAAAGACAAGCAGGAGGUGGGUGUCCACAGAGGAUGGUGGGAGUGGGAAGGUACCACCCUCUAUUCAUCAACUGAACACAAUCCCGGGAGACUUUCUGGAGGAGGGCGAUGGUCUGGUGUCUCCUAACCCUCGGGGAAACAUGGCAGACCACUUCGUAGCUUGGGGUAUCCCAUGGACAGUCCUGGGGUGCUAGUGCCGAAUCUCUCUACCUCCAAGUCCACAUUCCAGGUUCCAGGUACUCAGGUGUCUCAAGAGAGCUCUUCCUCAAUAUGAAAAAUCUAGGCCAGCUGCAAAGAAGAGACAGUAGAUGUCUCUGCCAGCUGUCUCCUGGACAUUGGCAGGUGGCCAACACUCACAACCCAGGCAGGGCUUGCCUUGACCUGGCCUGACAAUUCAUUCUGGUCACUGUGGCAAAGGGGAUAGCUACCCAGGAGGCUUAGGCAGGUCUGUGGCUAGCUGCCCAAAUCAAUGGGAAUGCCCCAGUUACCUCUCAGGGAGGGCAAAUAAUGAUGGCCUCAACACACUCAGCCCUCAGAUCAGAGCUCCAGAAGAACUUCCCAUGUCAGACCUUGCAAUGGUUCGGGGGCUACUAUACUCACCCACAGCCCUGCUUCUUGACCCCUUCUCUCUACUCCAUCCUAGUCUGACAUGGAUUAGAUAGUAGAGACACUCAGCAAAAACUCUGUCUUGAUCCAAUAUGGCGCUCAGAGUGGGGAAUCUGGGGUCCAAAUAGAAGCUGGAUAAUUCCCAUUUCUUCAUAGGCUCGUGGUGUGAAGAAGUGUCAAUGUCAUGGAGUCCAUCCUUCCUACUUGGUAUUCUAAGGGUUGGGUUUCCUAUAUAACAUUUCCAGAGCAGAGUGGUUACUCAGUCUUUGCGUGAACUCCUCCAGUGAUACGGACCUUACCACCUUACAAAGCAGCUAGUUUCAUCCCCCGGCAGUUCUCAUUGCUGGAGAGUUCAUCCUUACAUGAUCCUUCCUUACACCGUGUUGCAUCUGUUUCCUGCUCUCUCCGUCUAUGGUCCCCACAGAAGAUGACCAUUCCCUGUUCUUCAUGGCUUUUCGAGAUUUGAAAGUAGCUACUGGGUCACUUCCCCUAAGAAAGAACAUCAUGGGGAUUAGCAGGAGGAAAAUCCAGUCCUUUCAGACCUCAGGGAGGGUUUGCCCUGCUAUAGAGAAACUGCUUUUCUAUCCUUCUCUAUGGGCCUGCGCACGGGCCCAGGGCAACAAUAUGGUGAGUCUCUAGGCUCUUUGGACUACAGACACAUAGCAAGCACAUAGCCUUGCUAGCUGGGAGAACCUCAGCCUACUGUCUUCGUCCCAGGGGAGUGUUUCUGGGUCCCGGGAGCCUGGCGAUAAGGAUAAGGUGUCCUAGAGAGAGAGCUCUGUACUCGGAAUUUGACCACGAGGCCCCCAGUUUUGGUUCCACCCCUUCCUGGUUGGGAUCCUAUAAGCAGGUUGCUUAAAUUCUGAGCUUUAGGUUUGCUGUUUGUAAAAUGGGAAAAUAUCUCAUUGUGUUGCUAUGAGGAUCAAAUGACAUCAUAUAUAGGAAGAUGUUUUGUCAACCAAAACAUACUCUACAAAUGAUUAGCCAAUUCAAGUGGUUAGUAAAAGGGCUUGCAGAGCUUAGAGCUUCUUUGGUCUGGGCCUUCCUAGCGGAUGAGUGUCUAGAGCACAGCUGGUUUUAAGAAGGCUUCUGACUCCUCAAACCCCAUGGCUGGUCUGUGGCACCUAGAGGGGCUCUCUACUGAGGGUUCAUGGCCCCCAUCCUGUAUGACUCCUGCAGGGCCUCUGUGCCCACAUCUCCAGGGAGGACUCCGGCCCAAGUACCUUAGCCCAGGCUUUGGAGACCUGGAAAGAGUGGGUAAGUGUCACAAAGUCAAGGUUUGGGGUCGGGACUGGGCAGGAGGUGCAAGGCAGGGUCUCUGGGCUUGUAACUGGCUCUUCAUUCUUCUCAGAGGCCCCAGGGCUGCCUUCCCAGAGCUGUGUCUGCCCAGCCUCUGCCAUCACUCCCUGCCUAGCCUUUAAUUUAGACAGAGUUUAAUUCUAACCCCCCAAACUUGAAUGGGUUUUAUUGAGACCAGCAGUGGAGGGACUGAGAGUCAGGGAACAGAGCCUAAUGACAGUGGAGGAAUUACAAAGCGAGAGGGUCUCAUUUAAUCCAACCCCCUCAUUGGGCAGAUGAGGCCCCAGGAGGGGAAGGCUGCCCCAGGCGGGUGGUGGCCAGGUCGGGUUUUCUGUGUUUCUGCAUGGGGUCUCCUGUGUCCCAAGCCGGGGCUCUUUCCUGAAAGCUUCCUUGGCUCUGUGCAGACUCUGUGCCUCCAGCCUGUGGCCCGUGACUCCAUCUGGGCUCCCUGACAGGCCUGAGUCCAUGACCGGGCAAAGAUGGAUGCCGCCCUCACCCUCCCGGUGUCAUGGGAGCAGAAAGGCCAGGAGCCUCCACAAAUAGCAGCAUGUUGCCACCUGCCUAACCCCAAUCCGGUUUAUCCUGAGUUAGCAGAAGCCCGUGAGGUGUACUUCCCAGGCGGGGCUGGGCUGGGCAGCCCGGCCUUCCUCAUGCCACACGGGGCCCCGAGGGUGGCAGUGCUGCAAAUGGGGGGGAGGGGGGGGAUCCUGGAGGAAGGGGAGCCAGGUCUGGAUUAUCUAAGGGGUGCAAGCUGAGGUGGGGCUGGGGGGCAGGCUGACUGUUUCAGGGGGCACGUCCCUACCCACAGGGGGCAGCAUCUACCCCAGGGGGCAGGAACAUGGGCCAGUGGGGGCAUUUGCCCAGCUGUAGUCACAUACUGAGCAGGCUAGGCUAUGCCGGGGUCCUCCUCUCUCUGGCUGCCCAUCCUCUCUGCUUGGGCUCCCAGCUAUAAAGCAGGAACAAGUCCCAUCCCUUACCUGCCUGGGGGGACAUUGAGCAGGAGUGAGAUAAUGUCUGCAGGCUCAGCCCUCCACGGAGGGAGGCAGCCUCUAAACACAGGUCUACUUUUACUGCCUAGAGCUCUGCCUGGCUCCCUCUGGGGGCCCCUGCUGCUCCCUGACCCCCAAGGAGACGGGAGCCUGGCCAGUGUGUAGGCCCCAUGGACCCAUCCUAGACAUAGUGGAGGGAGCCCCCGAGCUCCAGCACCCAGUUCUUAGAGCCGUGGGCCUGGAUUAACUCCUCACAGCCCAUUGUUCAGGGUUCAAGGAGCCACCGCCCCCUCCUGGCAUUCUGGUUCGACCAGGAGUCUGGGCGGCUGGGCGUGGCUGGGGCCUAAUGAGCAGGGUGUGCCCCGAGGACUUGUUAGGAGCUGGGUGACAGCUGUAGGCAGGUCCCCACCCACGGUCGGUGGGCGGGCCGGCUUGCACAACCGUCACCUGCGCGAGGCACCACAUGGCAUCUUUGCCAAGGGUUUAUUUUUAAAAAACAAACGCUCGUCUUUGGUAGUAGGGCUGGGAAAUAUUUCUAAAUACUUAAAAGACAUCUCGCUAACACUUUUUAACACCCAAAUCUACUGUUCAGGAAAGCGAUACAAGUUCAUAGGGUUUCCAGCCCAUUACAGAGACGCUAGAAUGCCCAAGCCAUAACUGGGUUCUUGUCUCCUCCAGCUAAGCCCUUGCCCAGGACUUUCAAAAGCAAGAAGCUUCUGCAGUCACUGGGAAAUCAUGGGCAGGGGCCUCACACCUUGGCCAUCCCCCAUGUCUGUGUCAGGAUGAGUUCCCUGCUCUCUGGCUCUGUGUGGGCAGACACAACUGCUGCUGGGCCACCUUGUCCUUUCGAGGGCUGAGCAUCGUUGGCAGGAGACAGGGCUUCCUGCGCCUGCCUGGUUUCCAUAAGCAGCGCCGUCACCUAACAUCUCCAGCAGACCAUGGAGUUCUGGACGAAAUCAGUCCUCCAAGGAACGACCAGCCAGAUGCAAGGGGCUGUCCAUUUGCUACUGAGAGUCUUUAGGGGACACUGCACUGUUGUUGAGAUGCCGGUCUCCCGUGCCUUUCAGCACAGGUUGGUUUUGUGGGUAUGUGGGAGUGGGUCCGUCGAGGACCAUUGCUGAAAUACCUGUGUGUGCACCUGGAGUCUUGCCUUCCGGGUUCUGCCUGUCGCUGGGAGGCCUCCAGUUUAGAAAUGGGGUUGGGGGAUCAGAGGCCUCCAGGGGAAGGCUACGGAGAAGACAAGGGCAGGCAGGCCUGAGGAGCUGUGGUGCUAAGAACGUGCUCUGGGACCUCCGGUGGAUGCUGCUGGGUCCAGCAACACAGGGUGAGCAUCUGGGGACACCAGACUUGUGGGAGGUAUGCGGCAGGGCCCAGAAUCAAGGUUGUUCCUCUGGACUCUCUUUCCCAUAUCACAAGCGCCCAGCUUUGCAGUUCGCUGUGGCAGGCUCUGAGGUAUUGAGAUCAAACCUCCUUUGGGGGAGCUCUUGUCAGCCCAACUUCUGAUCUAGCUUCAGCCCAGUUCUCUCUUCCGAGUCCCAGACCCGGUAGAGCUGCCCACCUGACUUCUCUUGCCUCGUCUUCUCAGGGCCGUGGGUGGGCACCAUCGCCCCUAAGGAAAAUGCCCAUGGAAUAAAACGCAUACCUCUUCCCUGUCUGCGCCCCACGCCCCAGUCCCUGUACUCCAGACACAAUGGUCCCCUGGGCUUCUAGGACAGUCUAUGCUCAUUCUGCCAGAUAUCUCUGCCAUUCAUGGUAGUUGCUGUUCUUACCUCUAUUUUUCCAAUUUAUUUCAGAAAGAUUAAAAUCCCACCUUCCCUCUUCUGGGGAGUACUCUUCAUCUAGGCCAUUAGAAGCUGUCUCAGUGGAGGAAGUUUCCAUUUCCAGCAGGGGAAGGGGAUUGUUGGAAAGACUCAGAGGCUGAUUCUUAGGGCAGGUGACAGCCAUAAUUGGAGGCGUCGAGAAUAGAAAAUCUAGAAGUAUCUUCAGUCUUACAAGUAAGACAGUUCUAUAUUGUGAUGAAAGCAAUGAGGUGAUGGGGGAAGAGGCUAUGCCUAAUUUAGUAGGAGAACUUGGGCAAGUCCACUCUCCAUUCUGAGCCUCAAUUUCCCCAUCUGCAAAGUGAGAACGAUGAAUCCCACCUCUCAGGAUAUUGUGAGGACCAAAUGAGGUAUAACCCUUGCGAAAACUUUAACACAGACCUGGCAUGCGGGGGAUGCUUAAUAAAUGCCGGCUCUCUUUCCCUUCUCACAAGGCAGCCAUCCAUGCCAACCACCCCGAAAGCAUGUACUUCCCCCUGGGCACUCAGGACCGGUGAGAAGGUAGGGGGCCCCAUCAGCAGGAUGAUGGGGAUGGUAAAAACUGGGGCCGUCAUGCUUGCCUCCUAAUGAGCCUGAGUUAAUGAACAGCAUGAUUCACGAUUCGCUGCUUCUCCAGGGUGCCCUUUCUGUGUGCCUUCCUCCCAUCUGGGCCCCACAGCUGCUGCCACCCCCAUUCCACUGACAACAUCACUCCUCAGCCACGCAGCGGGCCUGGACAUUAGCCACAUGUGGGGGGUCGACUCUCGUUCAGCCCUGCCCCAGCCUGGCUCCCAGACAGGCAGAGCCAGAGGGGAGUCCUAGCCAGUGCUGAGGACCUCAGCACAAAAAGCCCUGUGCUCGUGUCUGCCAUACAUAUAUGUAUAUUUUUUUAACAGAUGACAGACUUGGCCAAGGCCACGUAGGGUGUUACCUGUGGAGUCCAGGCUCAUCACGCCCCCUCACCUUCUUCCUUCCUUGGGCCCCGCCACAGACGACACACAGCCGAGGCAGGGCCUGCUCCUCUUGGCACACGCAAACCUCUAGGAUACUGACUGGGCUUGUGGGGCCAGCUUCUCAAGAAAUGGGUUCAUAGGAGAGGUCUCCUGAACCUUCCAGCUAAUUCUCUUUCUGUCCCCUGGGGAGUCAAGGUGGGCAGAGACUGAAAUUUAAACGGUCCAUGAUGUUCUUCAGCCCCAGAGCCAGGCAGCCCUACAGAGAGGACUUCACGUCCACAGGGGCACCCGCUCACUUCUCCACUGUCCCCAGCACACUGCCCAUGUCUGCCACCAUGACACUGGGCUGAUGGAGAAGAUGCAUGCUGAGUGCAGAGGCAUAGCAAUGACGGAAGUAGAGAGCAAGGUCACGACCUCUGGAAUAUUCAAGACCCCCUCCCCCAACCGCACUUUCUCCUGAAUGCCUGCCAAGUGAGCAUGAUGUUGGGCAUUGCGGCCAGACUUGCAGAGUGACCUCGUCCUCUGCCAGGGACAGAGGGGAGGAUGGGCAGGACCCUCCCCAUCCGGGAGGAUGGCAAGCAUGUCACAUGAUAAGCAUGGACCACAGGGCUUCAGGGCUCAGGGUCCCCACCAGCCAGCCCCACCACUGAGCAGGCCUGCAGGGCCCAGAGGGCAGGAUGUGGGAGGAGCCCAGUCACCUUGACCAACCCUCCCUGACUGUGUGAGGUGGGGUCUGGGCCCAGGGAGUGGGGUGGGAAUGAGGGAGACCCUAAAGACCCAAUAUGAAGACACAAGAAAUGAGGCUCUUUAGGGUAGGAUUCAUCAGAAAGUUGUUCUGGAACUUCUCUUCCCUAGUAGUACAAGCAAUAUCAGCAUUUGAGACCUUCCCUUCAAAACCCAUCAUGGUGCAAUCUGGAAAGCCAGGGCACUGUUGGGGGACACUCACUGCCAACAGUCAGAGAGCAGGUGCCCCGAGAGCAGGAUCAUGGCAAUACUUGCCUGUUUUAUUUUAUUUCCUAUUGUACUGUUUUGUGAUCCAAUAUAACCUGUGAUUUACCUUGGCCCUUCUGUUUCAAGAGGCCACAUAAAUAUUAUAUUAAGAAGUUAAGGGGCUCCUGGGUGGCUCAGUCGGUUAAGUGUCCGACUUUGGCUCAGGUCAUGAUCUCACGGUUCGUGGGUUCUAGCUCCGCGUCGGGCUCUCUGUGUUCUGUCGGCUCGGAGCCAGCUUUGGAUCUUCUGUCCACCUCUCUCUCUGCCCCCCCUAUGCUUGUUCUCUCCCCACCCCCCAAAAUAAAUAAUACUUUUAAAAAGAAAGAAAGAAAUUAAGCUGUUUGUGUUUGAAUCUUCAUGAACAAGGUUUGCUACGUUGUGGUAGCAUGUUGUGUUCAUUUUUAUUGUAAAAUACACAUAACAUAAAAUUUACCUUAUUAAGUUCAGUCGUGUUAAGUAUAUUCAUAUUGUUGUCCACCUGAUCUCUAUAAUUUUUCGUUUUGCAAAACUGAAACUCCAUACCCGUUAAACACAACUCCCCAAUUCGCCCACUCCCUGGCCCCUGGCAACUGUUUUUUUUUUUUUUUUUUUUUUUUUUUAUUGAGGUGUAGUCUACAUACUGUGAAUGCAUAGAUCUUAAGUGUAAAACCCGAUGAGUUUUGACAGAUGACCAUACAUACCUAUGUAAUCAUGUAUCCAAUCAAGAUACAGCAUAUUUCCAUCAUCACACAAAGUUACCAUAUUUCUCGUUUUUUGUUUUUCAGUCUUAAUUAUAAUCAUAGUCACCUUGUGAUAAUGAUUUCCAGAACAUUAGGUCCCCAGAACUUUUCUGUCAACACCCACCCCCCUGUCUCAAGGCAACCAAUGUCUUGAUUUCUAUCUUCAUGGAUUGGCUUUGCCUGUUCUAGAUCUCAUAAAAAUGGAAUCACCCCAUAUGUAUGCUUUGUGCUUCUCUUUCUUUCAACAUAAUAUUGAGGUUCAGCCAUGUAGCAUCUAUCAGUAGUUUAUUCAUUUCUACUGCUGAGUAGCAUACCAUUAUAUGAAGAUAACAUAAUUUGUUUAUGUGCCCACCUGUGGAUGGACAUUUGGGUCAUUUCUAAUGUUUUGCUGCUAUGAACAAAACUGCUAUGAAACUUUUCGGACAAUUUUUCUUGUGAAUAUGCAUUUUCAGGUUUCUUGGAUAAAUACUUGGGAAUGGCAUCAGUGAAUCAUAAGGUAGGUGUAUAUUUCACUUUGUAAGAAACUGCUAAAUAGUCUUCCAAGAUGGUUGUACCAUUUUAUGCUCCCGCCAACAAUGUAUGAGUUCCAGUCGCUCCAUGUCUUUACCAGCGUUAGGUACUGUUGCUCUUUUUAAGUGUGGCCAUUCCAGUGGGUGUGAAAUGUUAUUGCACAUUUCCUAACACAAAGAUGUUGAGCAAUUUUCAUUUGGUUAUUGGCUACUUGUAAUCUUUUGUGACCUGUCAGGUCAAGUCUUUUGCUCUCUUUCAUUUAUUGGGUUGAUUGUUUUAAAAAAAUCUUUUUAUUAUUUAUUUGUUGGCAUUCUUUAUAUAUUCUGGAUACCAGCACUUAGAUAUAUAUAUUGUGAAUAUUUCUUUGCAGACUGGCUUGUCUGUUUUCUUAACAGAGUCUUUGGAUUGCAAAAACAAUUGUUUUUGAUGAAGUCCAAAUGAUUUUUUUUUGUAAUAGUUUGUGAUUUUAUGACCUGUUUAAGAAAACUUGGCCUUCUGUCAGGUCAUGAAAAUUUCUGUCUCUGUUCGCUUUUAGAAGCUUUAUAGUCUUAGUUUGUGUGUUUAGGUCUGUGAUCCACCUUAAAGAAAUUUUUGAGUAUGAUGUGAGGUAAGGGUGAUUGCUCAUUUUUAAAUAUAUGACUAUCAAAUUGUUCUAGCACCAUGUAAAAUUUAAAAAAACUUUGCUUUACCCAUUGAAUUACUAUGGUGUCUUUGUUGACAAUCAGUUGGCCACACCUGUGUGCGUCUACUUCCGGACUCUUCCCUUGAUCCCAUUGUCCAUUCUUGUGCCAAUACUGUAUGUACUACCUUGAUUGCUGUAGCUUAACUGCAGGUCCUAAAUCAUGUAGUGGAAAUCCUCUAUGGGGUAGCAAGUUUUUGAAAUACCAACUCAUUCCUUCCAGUAUUUAUCCUUUGCCCUUUUCACCACUGAAGCAAUUAUUUGCUGACUGCCAAGGGGAAGUGAGCACAAUCCCAAGACACAGGGAAGGAAUAAAGGGAGACUUUUUGGCUUUGGUUCUGAAAAUCUAAGUCCUUAGGGGAAUAGAGACAUAAAGUUUGGGGCAAAGAGCAUGCUAGAGAGCACCAACCCCCAUCUCUACCCUCCACUUCCAGUUAAUAGCACUUCUAAGACUACAGAAAAAUCCCCUAGGCUGUGUAGAAGGAUUAGAGCAAUUACACACCCUUAAAUCUGGGGUUAGGAUCUCAGGAGCCAUGGAGACCUCAAGGAGGCAUGGGGCAGCCUUGUAGAGCCCCCCAUCUCUGAUGGCCCAGGAACAGCAGAAUGAAUGCUGGACCCUCACUGUGGCCUGGGCAGAGCUGCACCCGGAAGGGGCUGUGGGGCAGAAUGAUGACCCUCCCAGGAGAGGUUUGGACAGGUGGCCCUGCGGGAAGUCACCCCAGUGCUUUGACUCUCUGUAAAACUCUAGAAAAUCAGUCUUGAUGCUAAGAAAAGGGGGAGGGGGUCACGAAUCCACGGCAAUUAAUGUUUUGCCACUCUGGUGGCAAAGAUGUUUCAGCUGAGAAGAAAGAAGUGUCUCUUAGACAUCUCUGAGUUUACUGCUGAAGGCUUAUUCUGGCUUUCUAUGGAUCUUCUAACAAACUGUAUUUAAAUGACUAAGUCUAAUGUUAAUAAAAAGUGGGGAGGGGGCAGAAGACCCAUCCUUUCUGAUGGGAGAGGAGCUGGCUGAGAAGGAUCGGGUGCCUGCCUCACUUGUGUUCCAGCCCCUGCCUUUAGGAUCUCAGACUUCAUUGAACAAAUCAUCCUCACAAUAUGUUCUUCUGCGUUCUAGUUUCUCCAUCCUGAAACACCCUAAUAAAGUCCUUACAUGUAAUGCAUCACUCUUGUCUUGAGCAAUCUGAAGGACAUCACGGUGGAUCCCAAGCAACAUGUUGAUAUCCUCACGGAGCCAAGCUCGGGGGUGAGCACUGUGUGGGGGGUGAUCACUCCCCACACAGGAGUGAUCAUCUGGCAGCAGAGGCUCAGGGUGAGGACGCCAUCUUGCCUGGGUUGCAAAGGACAUUGAGGUGAGGCUGCCUCAGCCUUCACUGUCCUGGCCUUCCUUUCCAUGCCAUCCGUGCCCCGACUCCACCCGUAUUAGGUAAUAUUAUCCACGUUACACAAAUGAGGAAACUGAGGCUUCAGAGGUUUAUAACUUGGGCUCCAUCACCCGACUAGUGAGAGAGGGAGGCAAACUUCGAAUCCAGAUCUGACAGCUAGCUCCAUGCUCUCCACCGGAUCAUCCUACCGCGGAAAGUCUACACCAGCCUGGGGAUUACAGCCUAGAACACCUCAUCUGGGCUGCUAACUUCAGAUAGAGAUCAAAGAGACAUUGUCAUGGGAGAAUGGCUUUUUGAGAUCAGAGCCUCUUAUCAGCUGAAUUGUAUUUCACCCCCCUUCCCCAAAUUCAUAUGUUGAAGUCCUAAUGUGACUGAAUUUGGAGACAGGGUCUUUAAAGAGCUAAUUAAGUUAAAACGAGGUCAUCUGGACCCUAAUCCCCUGUGACCUGCAUCCUUAUAAGGAGAGGUCAGAACACAGCCACAGGGAAGGCCAUGUGAAGACACAGAGAGAAGGCAGCCAUCAGGAAAACCAAGGGGAGAGCCUUCAAAACUCCUGAAGACACCCUUGAUCUUGGACAUCUCUCUCCAGAACUGUGAGAAAAUAAAUAUCUGUGUUUAAGCCAUCCGGUCGGUUAUGGCAGCCCUUCAAAUUAAUUCAGAGCCCCUUUUAAAAAUCACCUUUGUGGGGCACCUGGGUGGCUCAGUCAGUUAAGCGUCCAACUUCAGCUUGGGUCAUGAACCCGCGGUUCGUGAGUUUGAGCCCCAUGUCGGACUCUGCUGACAGCUCAGAGCCUGGAACCUGCUUUGGAUUCUCUGUCUCCCUCUCUCUCUGUUCCUCCCCCACUUGUACUCUGUCUCUCUCUC